rnacentral:rRNA from 1 species
GUCUACGGUCAUACCACCCUGAACGCGCCCGAUCUCGGAAGCUAAGCAGGGUCGGGCCUGGUUAGUACUUAGAUGGGAGACCGCCUGGGAAUACCGGGUGCUGUAGGCU